rnacentral:rRNA from 1 species
GGCCAGACUCCUACGGGAGGCAGCAGUGGGGAAUAUUGCGCAAUGGGCGAAAGCCUGACGCAGCGACGCCGCGUGAGGGAUGAAGGUCUUCGGAUCGUAAACCUCUGUCAGCAGGGAAGAACGGUCACUGUGCUAAUCAGCAGUGAAUUGACGGUACCUGCAAAGGAAGCACCGGCUAACUCCGUGCCAGCAGCCGCGGUAAUACGGAGGGUGCGAGCGUUAUCCGGAUUUACUGGGUGUAAAGGGCGUGCAGCCGGGAGGACAAGUCAGAUGUGAAAUCCCGCGGCUCAACCGCGGAACUGCAUUUGAAACUGUUUUUCUUGAGUACCGGAGAGGUCAUCGGAAUUCCUUGUGUAGCGGUGAAAUGCGUAGAUAUAAGGAAGAACACCAGUGGCGAAGGCGGAUGACUGGACGGCAACUGACGGUGAGGCGCGAAAGCGUGGGGAGCCAACAGGAUUAGAUACCCCUGUA